CAGAGCAUGAUGUCUGGGAGAAACUGCAGCCUUUCCCUAAGAAGUCUGAGACACAAGUGUAACCCACAUGCGAAUGGAAGGCGCUGAGAAGGAAAGGGCUGAGAACGGAAGGGGCGCAUGAUCACUGAGGACUCAGCUGUCACGUAGAGUUCUUCAGGAAGGGAUAUGGAAAACUACUGCUGACCUCUAAAGUACUCCCUGUGAAGAAGGGCCAAAGUCAUGCACACCUAGGCCUCAGUGGAUAUUGGCGGUGGAGAGGAAACAGCAGAGGACUCUUGGGUGCAGCCUCACUGCCUGCAGCAGAGAAGAAAGUCCCUCUCUCCCAGUUUCUGAGCAUUGGACUAUGAAAAUCGAAUGGAGAUCUGUGCAGAGACUUCCGCCAGCCUUGACAAGCGUAUAUGGAGAGACCAGGACACGCCAGCCUUGACAAGCGUAUAUGGAGAGGCCAGGACAACAGAGACAGACUGAGAGGAGAGAGCUGCAAGCGUCCACAUUGUCAUGUCUCCUGUGUUAUCCUAACCACUAACCUUGAGAUGGCACCUUGGGCAUCACAGCAUAAAAUGCCACUCACAGGAAUUCACCUGUGACAUAGAGCCCACUAAUGCACUGUGGCACCUCCAAAACUCCAAGCAAACUGGCUAAUUGUUUUUACAACUUUUAAUUUUGUUAUUUUGGAGACAGGCUUUCACAUAGCCCAGGCUGGCCUUGAACUCACUAUGUAGCCAGUAUGUCCUUAAACUCCUGGCCCUCCUGUUGCCACUUCCUAAAUGCUAGAGUUAUAGGCACAUAGGACCAUGAAAUUUUAGAGAUGGUGAUGUCCACUAUAAUCCCAACAUUCAGGAGGCUAAAACUAGCCUGGG
rnacentral:lncRNA from 1 species